GCCCAGGUGAGACAGGAGCAGGGUUGUGGAGUGGAGACCUUGGGAAGGCAGCUGGACAGAGGGGUCUGGAGCUCAGGAGAGAAGACCAUGGUAUGUGACCGGUGUCCAGGGCCCAGGGAGUGGGGGAGGGGGCGGCUUCAAGGGCAGGACACCCUGGCCAGCCCAAUGUCCCACAGAGGUGGCCAGCAGCAGAAGGUGGGCAUGGUGUGUGACCGGAGGGGUAAGGGCCUUGGGGCCGAGCAGAUUUUCUAGGAAGGAAAAGGGAAUCUGAGAGGGAAGAGGGCUCUUCCUGCGGCUUCCCUGGGGGAGGGGAGGGUGGGGGGGCAGCCCCGGGUGACAAGGGGAGGGAGGACAAUCCUGAGGAGGGUGGGUCUGCAUUCCUUGGCUGUGGGCCACCUUCUGCCCCUGCCCUGAAGGACAUCCCCCCUCUCCAGCCCGGCCCGGAGGAGGGCAGAGGGCUGGCUGUCCACCUGAGCCAGACAAGGACAGAACUAGGUUGCAGGCUGCCUCAGGCCCACACAGGGAGGCGGCAAUCUUGGCUCUGCCCCACCGGGCAGCUGCGGCAGGAUCCCACUCACCUCCUCGGGGCAGAGGCCAGCGGCAGGAGGAGCUUGGUAAGACAGGUGGGUACAGGGAAGGCAGCCCUCCUGAGCCCCGUCCUGGCAAGGGUCUCGAGAUGACCCCAUGCGGUGUCCCUGCCGCCGCCCCACGGGGGACAGCAGGUGGCUCCCGGAUUGGUCAGCGCCCCAGCCAGGAGCAGCACCUCCCUCUCAAUCUGUCAGCCUGAUUACCUCCGCCCAGGGCGCCUCCACCCUCCGUCGAAGGGGGGCGGCAGGCGGAACCUGACCUGCACACCCGCCCGGGGCCACCCCUGCCCUGCCCCCUGCCGGGAAACCGCUGGAGCCGGGAGGAACCCCCACCCCCACCCCCACCCCGCCACCGCCCACCCCCGCCUCCCCGGGCCGCAUCUCCCACGUCCCUGCCGGUAACCUCGACCCUCGCCCACCAGGGAGGGCGGCCGGCCCGGGGCUCAGACUGCCCGGUCCGGGCGAGCCAGAGCGCGGAGCUCCCGGCCGCUCCCGGCUCCACCGGCGCCUUGCCCCCCACGCCCGCCCCCGCCUCCCGGACCCGAGCUCAGCGCCCGUCGAAGGAGCUUCGGCCUCUGCUCCCUGGCCUGCCCGGGUCUGGCCCGGGCCUGGGUGUCCCACCUGCCCGCGCGGCGCCCCAGCGCUCCAAACGCAGUCUCUCGGCUCGCGGCUGGGCCCGCGCCACCCGAAUUUAAACCGGCCGCGGCCCCGCCCUCAUCUGGGGGCGGCGGCCCGGGGUGGGGGGCGCGCCCCGAAUCCGGGUGGGGCGGGCGGGUACCCAGAACCCGGCGGGGGCCAGGGCGGCGCCCCGGGCGCGCCCCUCGGUAGGCUGGCCACCCGUGAGCACCCCUGGUGAGGAAUGGCCCCGAAUUGCAGGGGGGCGGCUGCCCUCUCCCUCCUGCCCCUUUGACCUCUCCCCCAGAGUCCCGGCGAGGGAGCGGAGGUGGGCACAGGGUGCUGGGGGAGGGGUCCAUCCCCGCCCCUCUCAGCGGGUUCAGUGGACUUUGUAAAGGAAAUGCACACCUGACCCGGCGGUUUCACUUUCCAAAACGCGACUGUAUUGCGGGAGAGCCGGUCGGGAGGGGUUCGCACAGCUCCUCUGCUCACGUGUGUGUGGGGGUGUGGGGGGGGGGGUUGCGCACUGCUGGCCACAUGCUGGGUCUGCUCAGUCAGCGGGGUUGGGGGUCAGCUCCCCCCCCUGCUGCUUAGGUCCUGGGUGUGCUGAGCCAGGGUUCCGCAGGGGCUCCCCUCCGUGUGCCCCUGGGAAGAACUGGGGUUUCUGUGUCCCCAGCAGGUUCCCCUGUCUGGAAGAGAUGGCCAGCCUUCACCCCACCCCGCCUGAGGAGCCUCCCCCUGGGCUCAGAGGAGGUCCCGGGUGCAUCCCAGAGCUCCUGGCCCUCCUCUCAGACGCCCACCCUGGCACCGUGAGGCAGUGGCUGCUAGAGGUGUUGGGGAUAGAGGCCCAGAACCUUGGGGGCACCACCUUGGUGCCUCCCACCAAAGCAGAGCCCGAGGCUCUCUCCCAUCCCCCAGUCCCUGCCUCGAGGGCUCAGUCUCUCUGCCCCCCUAGCCCUUAUCUUUGCCUGGUUCAUUUUUUUUUAAUUUUGUUUUUAAAUGUUUUAUUUAUUUUUAAGACAGAGAGAGACAGAGCAUGAGUGGGGAUGGGGCAGAGAGAGGGAGACACAGAAUCCGAAGCAGGCUCCAGGCUCUGAGCUGUCAGCACAGGGCCUGACGCAGGUCUCCAAACUCACGAACUGUGAGAUCGUGACCUGAGCCGAAGGCGGACGCUUAACCGACUGAGCCACCCGGGCACCCCUGCCUGGUUCAUUCUUGACCACAUACUUGAACAGGGCCACCCUGACAGUCACCGGAAGUGUACCUGGAGACGCCCGUGCAGGUGCAGGCAUUUCUGGGGUGGAGGGUUCUGGGGUCCACCCCCGUGGCUCUGCCCUCACCCCCGCCUACCAGGCCCACACUCCCACCUGCUCACCAAGGCUCCCUGGCCCCCCGGGGCUGGCCUCUGGCCACCUGUGUGCCCUGGUGCACAUCCACCCAUCCACACUUGACGUUCUGUGUGGCUGCCGCUGGCCACCGGGGAGCCCCGACCCCCAAGGGUAGUGAGCUCCGGCAGGGGCCCGUGUCCAGCAAGGGGCGCUGGCCCAGCUGCAUCUCUGCCCGCGAGGCCCCAGGACACCGUCCGCGAUGGCCCGCUGUGCUGGCUGUGGCUUGUGGCCCAGAAAGUGCCUCAGAGUCACUCCUGCCCACGUCCAAGCCGUGCAGGCAGCAUCGCCACCAGGCCGCGAAACCCAGGCGCGUGCCAGCCCCUCUCGUGGGAAGGAGGACAGAGGCUGGCCCUGCCCCCGCCGUGCCCACUGGUCCUCUCCCGGUGUCUCCAGUUUCUUGCAGGAGCCUCCAGGUCAGCCUCUAGGUCAGCCUCCGGGACCCCCUGGGGAGCAAGCCUGGGUGACUGUCCUACCUCCCCGGCCCCCAGGCUGACCCCGAUGAUCAGGACUCCUCAGAGCCGGUGCCUUCCCAGAGCCCCAGCCCAGUGCGUCUGCCCAGCCACCCCCAGGCCUAGGCCUGCACUGCGGCACAGCAGGGAGGGCCUCAGGGAAUUAGGGGGAGGGGCUGUGGCGUCAGGAGGCCAGUGGGGUGACUCCCCCUAUGCUCAGUGCGGCCAACUGCUCUACCUGUGGCCGUCAUGUCCUGAAGCUGGUGGCCCUACCCCAGCCAGCUGUCCUGCUUCCCCUAGAGGCCCUGUGGGCCAGAGGCUCCGAGGAGGGGGUCCCAGGGCCAUGUUACCGUGCUGACCCUGGCCUGGUCUAGGCGGUGGCCGCGUGGGCUGCGGCGCUAGGCUACAGGCCCCACUCGGGGCCUGUAGGGCUCGGCCCGACUCAGCCUAUGGGUCAGUACGGCAGCUCGUCCACAGAGUGGCCCCCGGAGAGCGGCCCUGUCUCCUCCAGGAGGCGCAGCCUAGCGUGGCAGUGUGGCAGAGGUGGGCAGGGAGCGGAGCGGCCGGCUGACGUCUCUGCGGCUGCCCAGUGGCUCCCGCGGCAGGCCCGGGGGUUGGUACCCACGAGGGCAGCCCCUCCUUGCAGGGCUGGGCCCCUCCAGCAAAGGGGCAGAAAGAAGCUGUGUCCCCGCGGCUCCCACGGGAACCCCUGUCAUUAGAGGGGCCUCGUGACAUGCCUGCCUCCGAGAGGCGCCGCUGCCUCUUACCCCCUCAGUACCCCCACAUCCUGGGCCCCCCACCCCGUGCCUCAUGCUGCUCGCUCCGUCAGCAAGGACUCACGGCACAGGCGGGCCCGGGCAGUGCAGCCGGAGGACUGGGCCAUGGCCUGGCUUAGCCCGGGCGGCUGUGAGCCUCAGGACAUAGCCGGGGGUGGGGUGGGGAGGGGAGCCUCUGCCCAGACAGGCUGUCGUGCCGGACGCUCAGCGCUGGGGUGAGCUGACAGGGUUAUGCCUCGUUAGGGGUGGCAUUGUGUCCCUCCCCCAUGCUCAUGUAUGAAGUCUUGACCCCUGAGCUCCUGAGAACAUGCCCUCAUAUCGAAGGUCGUUGCAGGUGUAAUCAGUUAAGAUGGGGCCUCCUGAAGUCCCGACUGCCGUCCUCACGAAAAGGGGAUUUUGGACAGACGCACAGAGGGAAGAUACCACCUGCAAACCAAGGCAGGGGGCCUGGAGCAGACCCUUCCCUUGUACCCUUCAAAAGGAAUCAACCCUGCCCAUGGCUGGACCGUGGGCUUCCAGACUCCAGAACUGUGAGUCAAUUUGUUUUUCCUUUCUUUUUUUUUUUUUUUUUUUAAUUUUUUUUUUCAACGUUUAUUUAUUUUUGGGACAGAGAGAGACAGAGCAUGAACGGGGGAGGGGCAGCGAGAGAAGGAGACACAGAAUCGGAAACAGGCUCCAGGCUCCGAGCCAUCAGCCCAGAGCCCGACGCGGGGCUCGAACUCACGGACCGCGAGAUCGUGACCUGGCUGAGGUCGGACGCUUAACCGACUGCGCCACCCAGGCGCCCCUGUUUUUUUUUUUUAAAUUGUUUUAAUGCUUAUUUAUUUUUGAGAGAAAGAGAGAGAGAGAGAGACAGAGAGAGCAAGUGGGGGAGGGGCAGAGAGAGAGGAAGACACAGAAUCCAAAGCAGGCUCCAGGCUCUGAGCCAUCAGCACACAGCUGGAUGCAGGGCUUGAACCCAUGGAUGACAAGAUUGUGACCCGAGCGGAAGUCGGAUGCUUAACCGACUGAGCCACCCUGGCGCCCCUCGUUUUUCAUUUCUGUUGCUUAAACCACUCAGCCUGUGCAAACGGAGAUAGUCCCCAGUUGUGAGAACCAAACCUGGCAGAGCAAGUGAAGACGGGGUCUGGGACUUCGGCACAGGGGGUGACCUGGAAGCCGCUCCUUGAGGCCCCGCUGCCCCUGUGCUACAGGACAGAUGAAGGGGGCGAGGGGAAGGUGCGGUCAGCGUGGACCCAUCUGGUGACUCCCAGGCUGGGCAUCGAGGGUGGAUUAAACUAGGCAAGAUGCCUGACCUGUACUUCAGAAUUAAAUUUCUUUGCAUCUUGCUCCAA
rnacentral:lncRNA from 1 species